rnacentral:rRNA from 1 species
CCUACGGGUGGCAGCAGUGAGGAAUAUUGGUCAAUGGACGAGAGUCUGAACCAGCCAAGUAGCGUGAAGGAUGACUGCCCUAUGGGUUGUAAACUUCUUUUAUAUGGGAAUAAAACGUUCCACGUGUGGGAUUUUGUAUGUACCAUAUGAAUAAGGAUCGGCUAACUCCGUGCCAGCAGCCGCGGUAAUACGGAGGAUCCGAGCGUUAUCCGGAUUUAUUGGGUUUAAAGGGAGCGUAGGUGGAUUGUUAAGUCAGUUGUGAAAGUUUGCGGCUCAACCGUAAAAUUGCAGUUGAAACUGGCAGUCUUGAGUACAGUAGAGGUGGGCGGAAUUCGUGGGGUAGCGGUGAAAUGCUUAGAUAUCACGAAGAACUCCGAUUGCGAAGGCAGUUCACUGGACUGCAACUGACACUGAGGCUCGAAAGUGUGGGUAUCAAACAGGAUGAGAUACCCUGGUAGUC